UCACACACACACACACACACACACACACACACACACACACACACAAACAAACAUUGCUGAGAGGGAGAAACAGGUCGCGGCAUCAGCUCUCACAAACUCUUUAAACUUUAAACGUUUAACCGGAGCGCGGAGGAGCGGAGCACUUGACGCCGCCUGGAUCUGUGAAGAGCUCUCUGCUCCAUCUUCUGCUGCCUGAGACGUGAACCCCAGAGAGACUCUUAAUGAAUCAGUUUUCGCCGCUCGAUGCCAUGGCGUUCAAAGGAAACAUCACGCUGCCGAGGAUCCCGGAGUCUAACAUGGCUCUGAGCGUGUUAGGUAUGUUUCUGGGAUUGCUUCUGGAAGUUUCCACACACGGACCCUCCAGCGUUCCCAGAAGCUCAUGGAGGCAUGACGAUGUGAAUGUGCAGGAGUUCUGGGAGCCGGAUGUGUUCAACUACACGACCCUCCUGCUGAGCGAGGAGCGCGGCGUGCUGUAUGUCGGCGCUCGAGAGGCCGUCUACCAACUCAACAUGAGCAACGUGUCAAUCAAGAGCAACCAGCUGCUGUGGAAAGUUCCAGAGAGAGACAUGUCGAUGUGUAUUUUAAAGGGGAAAUCUAAAGAGACGGACUGUCGAAACUACAUUCGAGUUUUGCAAGUGCUGGAUGAAGACACUCUGUAUGUUUGUGGGACUCACGCGUUUCAACCCCUCUGUGAUUAUCUGUCGCUGCAGGGUUUCCGUUUGCAGGACAGAGCAGAGGACGGCAGGGGGAAGUGCUCCUUUGACCCGGCCCAGAGCUUCACCAGCGUGAUGGUUGAUGGAGAGUUGUACUCGGGAACGGCGUAUAACUUCCUGGGCAGCGAGCCGAUCAUCUCCAGAUCUUCUCUGUCUCAGAGUUUACUGCGCACAGAGUAUUCGACGUCCUGGCUCAACGAGCCCAGUUUCGUCUUCGCUGAUGUGAUCCGAGAAGGGCAGAACAGUCCAGAUGGAGAUGACGAUAAGAUCUACUACUUCUUCACAGAGGUGUCGGUGGAGUACGAGUUCUUCGGGAAGCUGCUCAUCCCCAGAAUCGCUCGCGUUUGUAAGGGGGAUCUGGGAGGCCAGCGGACGCUGCAGAAGAAGUGGACGUCGUUUCUGAAGGCUAAGCUGGUUUGCUCAAUGCCGGAGCUCAACUUUGUGUUCAAUGUGGUUCAUGAUGUGUUUAUUCUGAAAGCGCCACACUGGAGAGACACCGUCAUCUAUGGGGUCUUCACAUCUCAGUGGGGGAAUGUUGGUCUGUCCGCCGUCUGUGCGUAUAACAUGAGCUCGGUGCAUGAGGUUUUCUCCAAAGGGAAGUUCAUGCAGAAGGCCACGGUGGAACAGUCCCACACCAAGUGGGUUCGAUUUAAUGGCAUCACCCCGAAUCCCAGACCCGGAGAGUGCAUCAACAACCUGAACCGCAUGCAGAACAUCACCUCGUCGCUCCAGCUGCCCGAUAAGACGCUGCAAUUUGUGAAGGACCAUCCGCUGCUGGAGGACCCCGUGCUGCCCAUCGGAAACGGCCCGCGCCUCGUCACCAAAGACGUCAACUACACGCAGAUCGCCGUCCAGAGAGUGCAGGCCCUCGACGGAAGCAUCCACCACGUCAUUUUCACCGGCACCGAUAAAGGUUUGCUGCACAAAUCGCUGGUGUUGGAGGGCGAGGUUCACAUAGUGGAGGAAAUCCAGCUGCUGAAGAACACUGAGCCAAUUAAAACACUUCUGCUCUCCUCACAAGUGGCGCGGUUCCUGUACGCUGGAUCAGACUCAGGUGUGGUUCAGUCUCCCACAGCGUUCUGUGAGAAGUACCCGUCCUGUGUGGACUGUGUUCUGGCGCGGGACCCGUACUGUGCCUGGGACCCGCACUCGGGCUCCUGCCUCAAUAUUUUCCAGCAUGAUGCCGAUCCACGGAAGUUGAUUCAGAGCCUCAAAGGGGAUGCUGGGACAUGCCCUACAGUCUCUCCUCUGGCGGUGGGCGACUAUCAGCAGGUGUUGGUGAAGCCGGGCGGCUCUGCCGAUCUGCCGUGUCCGGUGCGCUCAAACCUGGCUCAGGUGUUGUGGAAGCUCAACGGCCGCGUCCUGACCGAAGCCUCGCGCUUCCUCCUGCUGAGCGAGAACGGGCUGCUGAUCUACAGCGUGAUGCCGGAGGACGCCGGCCGCUACGAGUGCUGGUCCGUCGAAGCGUCCAUGGGGAAGAACUUCACCCGUCUGGUGGUGGGAUACGCGCUUCAACUGGAGCUUCCUGAGAGUGCACCGUCCGUAUCUGCUCUGCAUCCGUCCAGCGCCGCGUCUACGCUCCCACCGGAGGAAGGUAAUACCAGUAACGGCUCGGGACUAACGCCGGCUCACACGGACGCUCCCUCACUAACAACCCCUCCCAGCAACGCCAUUAAACCCAAACACUACAUCCCCCCGGAGGUCAGCAACUUACCCACACGCACAGAGACGCUCGACCCCUCGGCUAAAUACAUUCAGCAGGACAACAGCGUGGCCCUGCUGUCGCUCUUCCUGCUCUUCUUCCUGCUCUUCCUCGCCGCUCUGGCGUACAACUGUUACAUGCAGUACCUGCCUGCGCCGUGUCUCCGCCUGCGAUCCGCGCUGCUCGGCUCAAAUAAAAAGCCACAGCCGGAGUAUGCAGCCUGCGAGGCCGGCCUGAUGGAGACAGUGCAGGAAAAGAUGGAUCCGGCCAAUCAGAACGGAGCGCAUCCGCUGCGCACACUCAGAGACACUGGAUACGAGACGGAGCCGGAAUGUGGGAACGGCGGAGUUCCAUCCGGCAAUGACGACAGUCCCUCGAAAGAGCAGCCCUUCGACGUGGACUGUGCAUCGCAGCCGAUUGAGUACGCAGACGCAGACGCAGACGCCGACACGCCGUACUGAUGCACCGCUUUUCACUCGCAUUCACAGAAUCACCGCAGCUCUGCAAGAACAGACGCAGAAUACCAAAUAAGAUUCCAAAUUGGAAACAUUGUUUACCAAAUUGUGUUGGGUCUGACCUGAAGUGGGGAUUGAAGGAAUCUCAGGGAUGCUUUCAGUGUCACACACGCAGGAUCUCAUGACGAAGAACUGCUCUGGAAGAGCUCAAACAUGGAGCCAGACUGAACUAUAACAGACCAAAAACACUGUGAUGUGUCUCUUGCACAGCUUCCUGUGGUGGUUUGUGCUGUGGAUGCAGAUGAGAUGUCUAACACACUUAACCUGCGAAAGGGCCGCUGUCUCACAUAACAAUACGUGUGAUUCGUGAGACUUUUCCACUGUAGUCCACAAACGUCAGCUUUGAAAGCUUUGUUUCAGAUCUUUUUUAAAGAUAUUAUAUUAUUUAAUUGUAUGUCAGCAAUAAUAGUGUAAAUACUGUAUCUUAAAAAAUGCCAAGAAACCCCAAAAUUUUAAGAAAAACCAAAACAUUUUUGCAUAAAAAGGAAAAUUUUUAGGACCAUAUUAUUCUUUCUUUUUUUCUCUUCUUUCUCCAUUUUGACAUUAUUUCAUGACUGAUUUUAAGAAAAUCUACUUUUUGGAGGGGUUU